UGGGGAAUAUUGCACAAUGGGCGCAAGCCUGAUGCAGCCAUGCCGCGUGUGUGAAGAAGGCCUUCGGGUUGUAAAGCACUUUCAGCGGGGAGGAAGGCGGUGAGGUUAAUAACCUCAUCGAUUGACGUUACCCGCAGAAGAAGCACCGGCUAACUCCGUGCCAGCAGCCGCGGUAACACGGAGGGUGCAAGCGUUAAUCGGAAUUACUGGGCGUAAAGCGCACGCAGGCGGUCUGUCAAGUCGGAUGUGAAAUCCCCGGGCUCAACCUGGGAACUGCAUUCGAAACUGGCAGGCUAGAGUCUUGUAGAGGGGGGUAGAAUUCCAGGUGUAGCGAUGAAAUGCGUAGAGAUCUGGAGGAAUACCGGUGGCGAAGGCGGCCCCCUGGACAAAGACUGACGCUCAGGUGCGAAAGCGUGGGGAGCAAACAGG
rnacentral:rRNA from 1 species